UCAUAUCGAGCUCGAACCCAUUCUACCUCCUCUAGUUUCGAAUCCAUUAAGACUCGUAAAGAGGGGAUCUCAACUUCGAUAGGUAGCACAGCUUCUAUUCCAUAGACCAGAGAGAAAGGAGUUGCCCUCGUAGAUGUCCGUACAGAUGUGCGAUAUGCAUACAAAGCAAAUGGUAGCUUCUCGUGCCAAUCUUUAUAUGUCUCAGUCAUUUUCCCAAUACUCUUCUUAAUAUUCUUGUUGGCUGCUUCAACAGCUCCGUUCAUUUUCGGGCGAU
rnacentral:lncRNA from 1 species